GUGGCUUCAGCACCAUAUAUACUACAACGGGAACAGUACAGAGAAGAUUAGCAUGGUCAGUGCGCAAGGAUGACACACAAACUCAUGAAGCAUUCCAUAUUUUU